rnacentral:rRNA from 1 species
AGUUUUGCAAAAAAACCCUCGAAGAAACUCCGACCGAACCCGCAGUCCAUCAUCCCCUUCGACAACUCCGCUCGUGCAGCUCCACCGCUCCCCCGCGACACCGGCGACGCCGCGCAGCUCCACCACGCCGCGCCGCCGCGACCCGCAGCUCCACCACACCGCGCCGCCGCGACCCCCAGCUCCACCGCGCAGCUCCGCCGCGACCCGCAGCUCCAUCGCUCCCUCCAUCCCUGCCAGUUGAUUUGUUCCCUAAAAUACUCACAUUUCCCUAUCCCUGCCCGCGACGAGGCCGAAUGUGUACCACUCCAGCAUCCCCGGCGCGGCGUCCAGCCAUAGGAAGAGGCAGUCGUGGGCGGCGCGGAAGACGCCGUCGGCCUCCACCAGCGCCUCGAUGUAGAUGUUGGAGCCGCCGGCAAAAUUUCAAAUUGGGAAAAGCAAAAUCUCACCUUUCCUUUUCCGGCGGAUAUGAAGGCGGAUCUCUCCUCUUCAUAGGAAUUGCCUGCUGUUGCCAUUGAUGUGUUGCUGCUGCUUCUUCAAUUCGUGGCGCUGCUGCUUCUUCAAUUCGUGGCGCUGCUGCUUCAAUUGCCAACUCUUCUUGCCGUACUGCUGGUGCUUCAAAUCAAUAGAGGAGGCGAUGACAACAUUUAGUCCUGAUUUUCUGCCAGGAACAAGUGAGCCAUUUAUUUUUGACUAAUACAGUAUCCAUUUUAUUUCUUCAGAAGCUAGCUCAUUCUCAAAAAUAAAGGAACAUAGGCAAAGCAAUAGACAGUAGCUAGCAUAUGAUUUGGUUACAGUAAGGAUCUUCUGAACAUUUGGUUAGCUCUGUCUAUAUCUCUGAACAUAUGAGCAAUGUGCAUUUUUAGUACCCCUGAACAUAUAAGCAACAGUAUCUAGCAUGGAGUAUGUCCAGAUAACAUGCCUUGCUUUAGUUGAAGAAAACCAAUAUGCCUUGCCUUUUAAACCAAUAAACAAUGAAAACAUUGAAGUAAAGCAAGCAGUAGAGAUAUCAUUAAAGUUCAAAAAUUAAGUGAGUACGCAAGUGGUGACAGGGAAGGAGAAAAUUCAGUUUCAGUUUUGGGAUGGUACAGUACUCCCUCAAAAAGACAUACACAUGAUAGAGAUUGUGUUCCUAAAUCAACAUCAAGUUUAGGAACAAGUGUGUUCCUAAAUAAUCUUCAGUUUAGGAACAAUAUUCAGUUUAGUAUUGUCAAGUCUGAAAUUUUGACAGUAAUGUUGUGACAUGUUCAGACUAGGAUAAUCUUCAGUUUAGGAACAACUUUGAUGAUUCUCUGGAUUGAUCAUAGUGUAUUUGGAUUGAUGAUCAAAGUUCAAAGAAUUAGCCUAAAUGCACAUUGAUGCUCAUUCAUCUUCUUUCUCAAAGUUCAAAGAAUUAUCAACAUUUAGCAUGAAUGCACAUUGAUGAUUCCAGAAAAUAAGUUUAUAACCACUCUAGAUUUACAAGUGUUUACUGAAGAAUAUUCAUUUUAUGAAGUAGACCAGCAAUAUUCAUCUUUUUCUGUUUAUGAAGAAGAAGAAGAAUAAACCUAGCUAAUUCAAAUAUUCCAAUUUUAGGGACAUGUUUUUAAUUCAAUUGGACAAGCAUGGAAUACUUUGAAUUUUGACCCUGACAAUGAAUUUCGAUUGUAAUCCAAUUAAACUCUCUGUAUCAAUUAAACUCUUUGUAUAACCUGUUAAUUUUAUUUGCAAUCAAGCUUUCACAGGAACAAAUGAACAAUUUACUCUAAUGUGAUCAAGAUUUCGCAGGAACAGAGGCGGAGUACCAGAGGCGUCGGGGUCGGGGGCGGGUAAAAAAAGAAGGCUCAUUCUAGUUUCUACAACAGGUUAUGCUAGUGAAUUCAAACUAUGCUUUGUUUGAUUCAGAUUAUGCUAGUGAAUUCAGUUACUUCACCUCACCUUCACUUCACCAAAUUUCUGACACAGGACACUGAAUGGAGUAUGAUUGACAGACACAAAACACUGUAAAUGUCAGAUAACAUCAGCAGUAGAUCAGCAUUGCAAUUGAGAAUUUUAAUACUCCAAUUGACACUGCAAUUGACGCUGAUGGAGUACUUCUUUGACAAAAUGAAAUUGAUACUGCAAUUGGCACUGUACCUGCAGCCAACAGUAGUAGCAGAGGCAAUCAACAGUCGAGGUGCUCGAGGGCAGAGGCAAUCAACAGUCGAGGGCAGAAGCAAUCAGCAGAGGCAAUCAGCAGAAGCAAUCAGCAGAAGCAAUCGGCUGUGGCAUCAGCAGGUUUGCGUGGUCCUCUCUCCGCCGGGGAAGAUCCGCCUUGCCCUGCCUGCCGAAUUCUUCAAGAGGGGAGCGGCGACCGGGGUCGGCAGCGGCGGCUGGGGUUGCCGCGAGGGUGAGGAACCGGCGAGCAGGGCCAGGGACGCGAGCAGGGCCACGAGGAGGAGGCGCCCGUCAAGGUGGUCGCCUUGGAGGAGCAGCCUCAGCUGGGCGGCGGGGCAGCUCGCCUCCGUGCGGACGGCCCACGUUCGUAGCGGCUGAGCAACCGCAGGUGGGCUACAGCGCAGGUGGGCGUCGGCGGAGGUGGUCGCCCGCUCUUUCUACGGCGGCUGCCGGCGGUGGCUACGACGGCCGCUUGGUCGAAGGAGGAAGAAGCAGAGGUGAGGGGGGGGAUUAGCACUAGAUUUAAAACCGGAAGGUUUUUUUUGUAAAAUUUGAAAUGAACUAAGCUCUGGACAACUUUUUCC